rnacentral:lncRNA from 1 species
CACUAUGUCGAAUUGGGAAGGACCCUGAUUAGUCCCGUGUGGAUCACCAUUGGAGGGCUUCUAUUUUGAAGCCUUGUGGAGAUCUUAAGAUUACUAGUUCAUGGUCUUCAUGAUGGUAUAUGGCUUCUGUUCCUUUCUUGUUAUACAUGCUUAUGUUAUUUGAUUGCAAUCAUCAAGGUGUUCCUAGGAUUUUUAUUUUUGGUAGUCUAGUUUAAAUGUUAAACUUAUUUUCAAUUGUUGAAUGUAUAUAAAAAUUUUUAAAAUUUAUAUUCUGCUGCAUCACC